rnacentral:pre_miRNA from 1 species
UUACUACUCCCUCCGUUCGGAAUUACUCGUCCAAGAAAUGAAUGUAUCUAGAUGUAUUUUACUUGUAGAUACAUCCAUUUUUGUGACAAGUAAUUCCGAACGGAGGGAGUAGUAC